rnacentral:rRNA from 1 species
CCUACGGGAGGCAGCAGUAGGGAAUAUUGCUCAAUGGGGGAAACCCUGAAGCAGCAACGCCGCGUGGAGGAUGAAGGUUUUAGGAUUGUAAACCCCAUUUGUUAGAGGAGAUAAUGACGGUAUCCAACGAAUAAGCACCGUCUAACUCCGUGCCAGCAGCGGCGGUAACAAGGCGGGUGCAAGCGUUAUUCGGAAUGACUGGGCGUAAAGCGUGCGUAGGCGGGGUAAUAGGUCAGAUGUGAAAUCCUGUAGCUUAACUACAGAACUGCAGUUGAAACUGUUACUCUGGAGUGUGGGAGAGGUAGGUGGAAUUCGUGGUGUAGCGGUAAAAUCCGUAGAGAUCAAGAGGAAUACUCAUUGCGAAGGCGACCUGCUGGCACAUUACUGACGCUGAUGCACGAAAGCGUGGGGAGCAAACAGGAUUAGAUACCCUUGUAGUC